rnacentral:lncRNA from 1 species
CAAACAUUUUCUAUUCCAUUAACUGACACAUACAUAUAGUUCAUUUGUUCCAAACAUAAUCACCAAGACACCAUACAUCAGGUUCACAAAAGGUAACUUGGUGGUACUAUUAUUUCUGAUUCAUUGUCCGAGACACCAUACAUCAGACUCACAAAAGGAUAGCUAAGAGGUGAAUGUCCAAUGUAAAAAUAUACAAAACAUCCAGUUGGAGCGAACCUCGGCUACUUGUUUAUUAGUCCUCAUGCAUAUCUCUCCUACAAAAGAAACACAUUGUAAGUCAAAAAGGUGGAUUUUAAAUUUUCUGCAUCAAAUGGGGAUAUUGUGCCAUCUUUUUUAUACAAGUAAAUUCACAUGAAAAUUAGCAAAGUGGCAGCAGCAUAAUAUACUGGAAAACAGUACAGCAAGCUGGAAAAUAGCAGGCAGUAGCAACAGAAGCACAACAAAAUCAACACAACAGAAGCACACCCACAAGCAUAUAGAAUAGGCAGCAGCAUCAGCCAUCAUCACACCAUCAAGCAUAGAAGAUCCAUACAGCAUACACAUCAGCGAGCAAGCGUGCUAGCAGCCACCAACUAACAACCAGCGGUAGCACUUCUACAACCAGUGAUGACCAUCAAGUGUGUUCGUGAAACUAGGAAACUUGGAUAUAAUUAUAAACACAGAAUAUUGAUUGUUAUCCUGCAACUUAGAUAAUAAAAGGAUUUAGACUAGACCUUUAUGUGCUGAUAAUAUUUUUGGCCUAGGGCAGAUCAACAAGCAACGAGACGUACCUAUGAGUCUACAACUACCAGUUCAAGCAAUCAUAUCAGAAAGCAUCUACAACAAUAUUUGAUGGGUAUAAACCAGUUCUAUUUUUCCAUGGGAAGGUUUCCAUAGUUUGUUCUCAUGUCAUAUGCAUAAUAUAGUGCACUACAGUAACACAAAGAAGUCAAAUAACAGGUUGUGGUCAUUGAAAGCCACAAUCCUAGUGGACACUGUUUAAAAUCAUGGACUAUAAAAUAUGGAAUAUAAUAGAAUGUGCCACUGCGCAGAAUAUUUUAACAUUCAGAACCACCCAACAUCCCCUUUUCCUAGUAGCAAUUUUUUUAUCUUGCCAAAAAGCACAGUCUGGAGGAUGUUCACCAUUAGAAGUCAUUAUGAACAUGAAACAACUAACAUCGUAAAGGGAAAAGAACUGCAUCAACAAAUUGUAUUCAGGAAUCCACCUUAUCAAUUGAAACAAUAUCUUGGCACAUACACAAUUACACACGCAAAUGCACAAGCCGCGAUAAUUCACUAAAUUGGUCGUAUUAGACUCAUGGAUUUCGAGUCGCUCGACUAGUCGCGACUAGUCGUCGACUAGUCGACGAGUCGCAGUUCCAGGGCCGACUCAGCCUCUCGACUCGACUCCUGGGUUGAGUCGAGCGACUCACGCGACUAGUCUCGACUAGUAACGACUAGUCGCGGUUUUUGGGUCGAACGACUCGAGGCAGCGCUGGAUCUGGAGCACUCUCCCGCCGCCGUGCUGCUGCUGCUGCUGUGCUGCCUCGCUGCUGCUGCUGCGCCCUUGCCGCCGCGCUGCUGCUGCUGCUGAAGCUGAAGCGGCAAGAGGAGCAGGCUGGAAGGAGGAGCGGUGGCAAGAGAGCUGCUGCGGGGGGGUUGAGAGAUCCAUCGCUGGGAAGAGUGGUGGACUGGUGGCAAGAGAGUGGCAGCAGAAUGUGUGGCGGCUGUGGUGAGGGAGGAGGGAGUGUGGAUGGUGGAUUAGGUCACAGGAGGAGUAUAUAGCUACUAGAUGGGCUUUUCGGCCACAGGGAAGUGCAUAACUAGUGGCCCAUCUCUCAGUUGGCCCUGGUUACUGCUGCUGGUGGUGUGCUCCUCCCCUCCUCCCCUGGUUGCUGCUGCUGCUGUGCACUUGUGCUCCUCCCCUGACUGCCUGCUGCUUAACUCGCGUUGACUCGUCGCCAUGUCGACUCGUCGACCGUGAGUCUAGACUAGUCACGACUAGUCUAGAGUCGCCCUCCCCGAGCGACCCGUCGACUCAUCGACUCGAAAACAUUGAUUAGACUCACACAACAUGAUAGCGGUGGGAUGAGAAAGACGACCUGAGCUCGUAGGUCUUCACCUAGCAAAAAUAUCGCUAGUCAGCAUCAUGCAUUGUUCAGCUUGUCGACGUGCUUCAAUUUCAACUAGAACCAUGGAAUCAUUACUUUUGUGCUCAUUUUACCCAAUGUAUUUCUUUCACUUGCUAUAUAAAUUCAACUUGUACAAUUUUUGAGCAAUAUACUAAUAUUCCAUAGCAGGGUUAAAUAAGCUGAAGGUCCUGUUCUCAGACCAUGAAGAUUAAAUACAGACUCUUAUGUUCAUAAGAGUUCUACAAUGUACGGCAGCCCGGUGCACAUAGGUCCCAUGCUUAACUAAAAGGCUGAAACACUAGUUACUCAUUUGGUCUUUUUAUGCAACCUGAAGCUAGUUCUGCAUGGUUGUACUUCUUUUCCUGAAACCUGAAUUUUUUGUAUUGAAGUGCAACUGCUACUCUGAAUAACGAUGCUUAUGUGUAUAUGUAACAAUUGCAAGGUUUUUGAAUUAGUACAGUUUAUCUAUAAACGUGCACACUAGAAAUGGAUCUUCACUUUAAAUAUGCAAGCAAGACAUAUAUACUAAACACAUGAGUGUGUGAGUAACACAAAUACUUUAGCAGUGAGACGAUGAAGAUGCCCCUCUAUGCCAACUCAUUUGUAUACAUAUAUGUCCAUUGUAAACAAUUUAAGAUCAUUGACCAUUUCAUUUCAAGAUGUACAAAUAAGAAUGGAUACCUCGCCUAAUAACAAAGUAAUUUGAUGAACCAAUUCGUGUGUAAGUACAACAACAAGAAACUAUAUGAUCGUGUCUAUAUCUAGUCUAAUCUAGAACUCAUUGCAAAUAUAAUUUGCCAGGUAAAUAUGCAGCCAAGGUUAUAGACCUAGGCAGUAAACAUUGAAUGGAAAUUAUAUAACAGUAAGACUGCAAUCAAGGAUGUGGAAAGGUAGGAACGUACCUGCAGAAACAAUGAAAACUUUGUACACAAUCCAUAAAUUCAGAAGCCGCAGUAAGUAGUACAGUAUGCAC